rnacentral:lncRNA from 1 species
GUGUACGUCCACAACUCGUACGGGUACUUCUAUAUGUAAAUGCUUUUUAAAAUGAUGUUAAAAAGUGAUCAUUUAUUAAACAAUUGUAAAAUGGAUAAUAGUAAUAAUAGAGAUGGGAUGGACAAAGUACCUGAUAAAUGUAGUGUAGCGAUGAAUAAGGAAUUUAAUAGUAAAAUGGAUUCCAUUAUAGAAUUUGCGGAUAAAUCGAAAAAUAUAAUUUGCCUUAUGCAGUCGAAAAACAAGACAAGAAAACAAGAAGUAGAAAAUGAAUAUAUGUUUUUGAAAGAAAUAGGAGGUGUUUGUAAAAAAAGCUGCGAGUAUUAUUUUGAUACAAAUGUUAAUUUUCAUGAAUCAUGCGAAAAUUUUAAUAUAAUGUUUAAAAUAUUUCAUGACUCGCUAGUUGGUUUAAAAAGCAAAUAUGAAGAAGUUAACGAACUUGGUAAAAAGUUAAAAACUAUUGAAGAAAAUAAAAUUCUUGAAAUGAAAGAAAAAGAAGAGAUAAAUGAAAAAUUAAAAAAUGAAUUAUGUACAUUAGAGAAAAAUAUCGAAUUUAUGAAUACCGAGUCAGGAAAUAUAGCAAAUCGAAUAAAAGAAAUUGAUUAUCAAAUAAAUCAACAUAAGGAGGCUUUAGAAUCUUUUCAAAUAUUAACUCAUUUAAAUAGUGAAAAAAUAACAAUUUCACAAAAUGAUUAUAAAAAAUUAUGUGACGAUAAAGAAAAAAUAAUUUGUUCGAUAAAUGAAAUGAACGUUAAUAUGGAAAAUUUAGGUGAAAAUGUAGUUAUACAAACAAAGGAAUUGGAGGAAAAUAAGGACGCACUACUUACAAACAAAAAGGAGCUUAAACGAAAGAUUGAAAAUAUAAUAAUAGAUAAAAAAGACUCAAUUUCAAUCAAUACAAGAUUACAACAACAAAUACAGUUUUUAGAAAACCAAAUAGCAUCACAAGAAUAUUUUUUAAAUGCUAUUAAUUGUGGUUUACAAAAUGCUAUCGAAAAAAAAGAAGAACUUGAAAAUUUAUUGAAUAAUACAAAAAAUGAUACAAAUAGUAUGAUAAAACAAAUUGAAUUAACAAAAACAGAUAUUUUAGAAAAUACAAAAGAAAAAGAAAAUUUAAAUUUAAAAAUUAAAAAUUUACAAGAAAUAUUAAAAAAUAAAAAAAAAGAAUUAGAACAAAUUACAAAUGAAGAUAAUGCAUUAAAUUUUGAAAUAGAAAGUGAAAAAAAAAAAAUAAAUAAAAAUAUGCUUAAAGAUUUGUUAAAAGAAAAAAGUUGUAUAGAUGAAGAAAUUAAUAAUUACAAAACAGAGCUUCAAAAUUUGUUACAAAGUGAAAGUAAAAAAAUGGGAAAUAUUUUUGAUAGUAUAAAAAUGGAUGCUGUUAUAGGAGAAGAUUGUAAUGGAAGUAAUUCUGUUAGUAAUAUCGAUCGAGAUGGUAAGACUGUUCGAGAUGGUAAAACUGGUAGAGAUGGUAAAACUAGUUUAGAUGGUAAGAUUGGCCUAGAUGAGAUUAACAAUAGUAAUGUAACAGAUAAAACUAAAAAAGUCAGUACAAGUGUUGAUAAACAAACGAAUAUUAUAAUAACAUUAGAAAAGAUAUUAAACGAUUUAAAAAAAGAGAUUAAAAAGGGACAAGAUAAUAUAUGGGGUAAUGAAAAAGUUAUACUAAAAAAAAAAGAUGAAAUUAAAAAAUUAGAAACUGAAAUAAAUGAAAAGGUAAAAAUGAAUAACAAAAUAGAUAAUAUUGUGAGUAAAAAAAAAGAAGAAUUAAUAUCGAUGAAUAAAAAGGAAAAAGAAGGAGAUAGCCGUUUAAUAUUUUUAAAAAAAGAUUUACAAAAAUUAGAAAAAAAUCAUAAAAAAGAAUAUGAACAGUUCAUAGAAAUUGAGAAUAAAUUAAAAGAAAUUGAAAAAAAAAAUGAAGAAAAAAUAAUAGAAUUACAUAAAAAAUAUAAUGAAAAAACUAAAAGUUUAUAUGAUACAAAAAAUAACAAAUUGGAUAUUCAAUCAGCAGAAAAACAAAAAAUGAAAGAAGAAAUAGAUAUUUACUCUGAACAAUUAAAAAAAGAAUAUGAACAAAAAAAAAAAGAGUUUGAAAAAAUGGAAAAUGAAAAAUAUGAUGAAAUAUGUAAUAAAAUGGAAGAAGAAUUGAAUAAAAAAGAAAAUCUUAUUAAUUAUUAUAAAGAAUUGUUAACUAAACAAGGAUUAAAAAUAGGAGACUUAGGUUUUAAUACUAAUAAAACAAAUGGUAACAAUUAUAUAAAAAUAAUGAAUACACAAAAUAAAAAUGUUAUUACAACAUCUACUGUUGAUAUUGAUAUAAAUAGUAAAAAAAUGUCUGACGUUGUUAAUAACAAUGGUAGUAAUAGUUACAAAACUGACAGUAGUAAUAAUAAUGAUUGUUUUGUUACUAAUUCAACUGAAGAUAAUGGAAAAAAUAUAAAUCAAUACAAAUUACAUAGUAUACCUGACCAAUAUAAAUUUAAUUAUUUUGAUGUGACAUCACCAGCUGUUGUAAGAAAAAAUAUACAACUUCCUAGCCGUUCAGUAAAAUCUCCACAUAUAGCCAGAUUACUUGAAAAAAUCAAAAAUCGUAAAAACUGUCAACAACCGUUGGCUACUAACAUUAAUAGGGUUUCACUGAACCAAGCGAUUAAUACGGCGGGAAAAAGAGGUAGAAGUAGUAUUAGUAAUAACUCAAGCGGAGGUACAUUAAACAAUAAUAAUAAACCGUUUGUCACUAAUGCAAAAAAUAGUAAAAUUAAUAAUUCGUUUGAUUUGUUUCAUCAUUUGUGAGGGAGAAUUUUAAUAGC